ensembl:lncRNA GPRC5D-AS1 GPRC5D and HEBP1 antisense RNA 1
UUGUUCUUGCUGACCACACAUCUGUUUAUACAGUACCAUGAUUGUUUCUUGAGCAAACAAAAGCAAAGACAGUGCAACGAAAACACAAAAAGUUUUAUCUUCUAGUAAGAACUAUGAGAAGUAUUUUCAGGAAAGAUUGACUCUGCAAUUCUGCCACAAAACUCAGUGAUGUGAUUAUGCCUCACCAACAAGCAAUGGAAAACUUUUAUGGGAAAAAGUGUGUAGUAUCAAUUUCCAACUUUUGGUCAACUGAACUGAAAAGAAUCAAUGGAUGUAUUUAUCUGAACAGGAUUUAAUUUGAAUGCGCAACUAGCCACAGAUUACAGCUCAAAAAAAGUGUAUGUACUUAAAAGGAAGCUUAUGUGAAUUUUUUUGAGCCUGGUGAACAUUAUGUGUGCUGUACAAUAUAUAAAAUAACAUCAUCAUUACAUAUUAGAAAUAAAAUGUGAGAAAUCAG